UACGGGGGGGGCAAGCGUUGUUCGGAAUUACUGGGCGUAAAGGGUCUGUAGGUGGCUUGCUAAGUCAGACGUGAAAUCCCUCAGCUUAACUGGGGAACUGCGUCUGAGACUGGCGAGCUUGAGGGCAGGAGAGGAACGCGGAAUUCCAGGUGUAGCGGUGAAAUGCGUAGAUAUCUGGAGGAACACCGGUAGCGAAGGCGGCGUUCUGGACUGCAUCUGACACUGAAAGACGAAAGCCAGGGGAGCAAACGGG
rnacentral:rRNA from 1 species